UCUUUCGAUUUAAUAUUUUAGUCUUUUUUUUCUUUUCUUUUCUAUCGCACUAGUUCACAUACACACACUAAAAAACACAAAAUUAUGAAAAAAAAAAAAGCCCAAAAAUGCACGUAGUUUUUAGCCCAAAUUUUAAAAAAAUAAGAUGCACUUCUACGACGACGAUUUUGUUUUUCGUUUGUUCUUCCCCGGGCAGAGAAGCAAAAAUUGUCUUUUUAAAAUCUAUUGUUCUCGUGUUGAACGUGUGUCUGUGUAUGUGUGUGUGUGUGUGUUGUAUACGUGCGUGCGUGUAUGUAAAAAAAAAUAAAAAAAAAUAUAUGCGUUUGCUUAUCAUAGUGAUAGUUUGUAU
rnacentral:lncRNA from 1 species